ensembl:lncRNA
CAUAUGUCUUUGCUGCUCAGGUCUUCGUUCGACGCAUGAGCUGCUUACUGUGCUUCGAUUUCGCUUCGCUAAAUCUCGUCGCCUAGUACUAUGUCGUUUAAUACAUACCCAGAUGCCGUAAUGUCGGAUUCCGAUGAGGACGCUUUUCCUCCAUCUCCUGCCGUAUCACGUAGGAGUUCGGGAAUCCAUUUAAAAUCGGCUUCUUGGGCGUCUUGGCCAACCAAAAAACUGCUGGAACUCCUGACCCAAGAAGGCGUCCCAGUGGAAGUCGGCUUGUCGCGGGCGGAUGCCCUGCAGCUUGCCGACACAGCGCUGGGGGAUCAUCUCCACGCUCCACUCUCUCCAACGUUCACUCCGGAUGCCGCCGCUGCUGGCUCCGCUGCUGCGACGACUACAAAACCCGGCAAAAAGCGCGCUGGUCGGCCUACUACCUCCGGCCCGGGCAAGCGAGCGCGGAAAGCCGGUAAUUUCGGUCCACGGGAUCCUCAUCACCACCCCCAACAAAUCCCCGACGCGGACCUUCGCCAGGUUCUACACACCCUCGCCGAGUCGGUCCAAAGCCUCGGCGCCAGGAUGGAUGCUGUCGAAACACCAGGGCGCAUUCCCGGACGGGUCCAGGCCCACAACCCACCGUUUUCCUUCCAGCUACCAUCUGGCUCGGCUCCUUCCGCCUCCACAGGCUAUGCUCCUGGCAUGUGCUCGGGUACCACGGCUACUGCAGCCCCCCGCGGUCGCCCCUUUCGCGUAUUCGCUCGCUACUGCUCUACCAGUCCAGUUCCAGGGUAGGAGCUUUAUUACGCCCGCCGCGGCUACGGUUUCUCAGACCACAAAAAAUAAUAUACUCCAGGGCAGAGACGUUAAUCUCGCGGCAUUAUUGUUACCCUCCCCCGCCAUAGAGCGUCAAUGGGUUGAUUGCGGUGACGUGUCCGUUCUCUUGAAAACGUCAGACCCUAGACUUACGCGCAAUCUCUCUUUUGGCGAGUUCGUCAUUACAUUCGGGAUUUACAGAGACAUUAUGUGCCAAGUUUAUCCGGAUAGGAGGGCAGAACUUGACGCUUACCUUGCUAUUAUCGCCGACCUCAACCAGCGCUACGCCGGGAACGCUACUUUAUGAAUAUCAUAAAGCAUUUUCUGCUAAGUCGGCCCAAUGGAUCUCCAUGCUUAAUGUGAGGAUUGAUUGGUCCACUACGGACACCGAGCUUCUGCUCCACCACUUCGGUGGCCAUCAGUCAAUUUCUUGCGCUAUCUGCAGUUCCCACGGGCACACAACGGUGCUAUGCCCCAAGACCGCUACUACCGCCCCCGUCUAUGCCUCUAAAACGCCACCCGUCCAUAGUGAAGUUAACCUUUUGCAGGGACCCGCACCCGAAAACUACCUGCCCCCGCCGCCAAAGGCCGGCAAUUCAAGGGAGGGGCCAUCCCUCCAAGAGAUUUUAAAAUCUCACCCAUCUACCCCAAUUAACAUUUCUUCUCUUUCAUCAUUCCUCUCAUCGCACCCCGACUCCGGUUUUGUAGACCAUCUUAUCACGGGCCUUUCACAGGGGUUCCGAGUGGGAGUCCUUUCUCCAUUGUCCACUAAAUAUGUGGCAAAAAAUCUCCAGUCAGCUCUGGCAGAACCAGAAAUCGUGUCUGCUCUUCUGGCUAAAGAGCUUCUCAAAAAUUAUGUUAUCGGCCCAUUUAGUUCUCCCCCCUUUUCUUUCUUUAGAAUAAAUUCUCUCGGCGUUGCUACCCGGAGAUAUUCAGGGAAAAAACGUCUUAUUUUUGAUAUGUCUUCUCCUCACUCUGACUCUUUCGCUAGCGUCAACGAAUGUAUCCCAUCAGAACUAUUCUCGUUGUACUAUGCCACUAUCGACCACGCCAUCGCGUUGAUAAAAAUCGCAGGCCAGGGAGCUUGGCUCGCUAAAGCCAACAUUACAGAUGCUUUUAAAAUAAUGCCCAUUCAUCGGUCUGAUUGGCCGUUGUUCGGCGUGAAAUGGCAGUCCAAAUUCUAUUUCGCAGUUAGACUAACAUUCGGGUGUAGGAGCAGCCCCCACCUCUUCAAUUUGCUAUCUGAGGCCCUAUGCUGGAUUAUGCUAAACAUAUGUAGGUUGCCAUUCGUUCUACAUCUGCUGGACGAUUUUUUGCUUAUUGACUUUCCAUCUAACCAAACCAGCGUCCUGGAUACUCUUAAGAGAGUGUUCAGCGAGAUCGGAGUUCCCUUAUCUGAAGAGAAAACGGAGGGGCCAGUUACCGCAAUCGAAUUUCUAGGGAUUCGCUUAGAUUCGGAUAGGAUGCAAGCAUCCCUCCCGGACGAGAAACUACAGAGGAUCAGAUCGUUUCUCAAUGCGUUUAUAACGUCUGCUGGAAUCACUAAACGUGAAAUGCUCUCACUCCUAGGCCACCUCAAUUUCGCUAUGCGUAUUAUACCACAAGGGCGCUCGUUCAUCUCUCGCCUCCUAGAUCUGGCACAUUCGGUCCCAAAACUGAACGACGUGAUACACCUCAACGAAGGCUGCAGGUCCGAUCUCAAAUUCUGGUCGUUCCUCAUCGCUAAUUGGAACGGAAUUUCCUUCUUCUAUAACGACACGCCUGAAUCAUCUGAUUCUCUCGAACUAUUCACUGAUGCGGCCCCCUCGGUCGGGUUUGGGGGGUUUUUCCAAGGCCAAUGGUUCGCUGGGAGAUGGCCGGUCGAAUUCCGCACAUUCGCCCUCGGGUCAGAGUCGUCUGCGUUGUUCGAGCUCUACCCUAUUGUGGCAGCUAGCGUUCUGUGGGGCCAAGCAUGGCGGCGUAAACGUAUUACCAUGUUUUGCGAUAACGAAGCAGUGGUGGCUAUCAUCAAUAAAAAGCGAUCUGCAUGCCCCACUAUCAUGUCCAUGCUUAGACGUCUCACAUGGCAGUCCGUCACCCUCAAUUUCAUCAUUAAUGCUGAGCAUAUACCUGGUCACCAUAAUAGUCUUGCUGAUUCCCUCUCUCGUUUCCGUUUCCAGGAAUUCAGACGUCUAUGCCCCGCAGCGAAUACGGACCCAAUAAUCAGCCCACCCUUCCACGAACUCCGGCUGGAUUAGGCAAUAGGCUAAAUUCGCUGCUCGACUCCGCGAGUGUUUUUAUGGCAAAAGCUCUAGCGCCAUCUACCCUUAAAGCUUAUAGCUACGCGUGGUCCCUGUUUAAUUCAUUUUGCAUUUCCAUGCACGUUUCAGUUCUUCCAGUGUCGGUACCUAUCGUCUGCGCUUUUAUCGUCCACUGCUUCGAAUCUCAUAGACAUAAAUUGUCUAUGAUUCGGGAGAAUAUCGCUGGUAUUCAAUUUUAUGCUAGAUGCCUAGAUCCUGGCUCCCCUAGUCUAUUUUCGGCUCCCGCAAUCCGUCUCUUAUUGAAGGGCAUGUAUAAAUCGGUGCCAAAAGUACCAGACAAACGCUCUCCUAUCACACUCGAUAUAUUGAACAGAUUAGUGUGCGCUCUUAGAGCCGGGAAAUUCCAUCCUUAUUUUAACAUAUUACUCGAGACAGUGUUUCUCACAGCAUUCUACGGGUUCAUGCGUCCAGGGGAAUAUACGUCUCCUACUCAGACUUUUUCCCCUACACGGGGCCUGGCUUUUGCUGAUGUCACCUUCUUUGCAAGGCAUUUUUCCAUCUUCUUAAAACGGUCCAAAAGCGAUAGCCUAGGGGUAGGUGCUACUAUUAUCAUCUCAAGAAUCAACAACUCUCUCUGCCCUUACGCUUCCAUGCUCCUCUACCUCAAGCUCCGGCAACGCACGCCUCCCGAAUCACCUCUGUUUAUUUUGCCUAACGGCCGGCCAAUGACUAAAGAGUGGUUUAGAGUCCAUCUCGCGAAGGUGGUAGAAGGGUGUGGCCUACCUUCUCCUCUCUACACUGGCCACUCCUUCCGGAUUGGAGCGGCAACUACAGCCGCUGAACAAGGGUUGCCGGACGCGUCUAUCAAACGGCUUGGAAGGUGGUCUUCCACAGCCUACGAAUCCUACAUCCGGUCGAAUUCAAGGUUCUUCCAUCAAGCGCACACGAUGCUCUCAUACGUCGGUUAAGGCAGGUUUAACACAUUUUCAACUAUAGCUGUUUCUGGCGGCCUGUUUCCAUUUCAGGGUUAUUCUAGUCUUAGUGUCUAGCUGUUAUUUUAGUCUAUUCGUUUUAGUUACGUCUAUAUUCUUUCUAGUGUUAUCGAAAUAUAUUGCACUAUGUAUUUAACUACAGUUAUUGUCACACGCCCAGCAUGCACGUUGCGUCCUGUUUGUUGUUUGUUUGUUUGUUUGUUUUUCUUUCUCACGCGAUAAAGGUUCGUGAUGACGAUAUUUUGUCAUUAUUUUCGUUGCUAAAAGCGACACUAUUUGCAACUACUGGUGGUGGUGGUUAAGCAAAAUUCGGUUUCAUAACUCAGGUUAACCUGCAGCAACCCCGGCGAGUGUGACCACGUCGGUGGAUCAUCUAGAAAACACUCUUGAGUUCGCUGUCACGUCAGUGGCGUAAAAUAGGAAAAUAAAACUCAAGGUUGCAGCGCCAACCCCGGUGAGUGCGUGACCACGUCGGUGGCACAUCAAGGGCACUCGUGAGUAUGACCACGUCGGUGGCACGUUAUCUAGUACUCAUGGUUUGACUGCUGUAACCCCGGUGAGUGCGUUGCUCACGUCGGUGGGAACAACUCAAGCACUCAUGAGUUCGUUGCGCACGUCGGUGCGGUACAACACGGAACUCUACGUUCGUUGCAGCAAAUCCGGUGAGUGCGUUGCCCACGUCGGCGGGAACAACUCAAGCACUCGUGAGUUCGUUGCGCACGUCGGUGCGGUACAACUCAGAACUCACGUUCGCUGCAGCAACCCUGGUAGUGCGUUGACCACGUCGGUGGGCACUACUCAGGUACAUGAAAUUUAAUUACCACGUCGGUGGCAUAAUAUCAAAAGCUCAAGUGCAGGGCACUCGGAGUUCAUUGACCACGUCGGUGUUUAACACGGAAGUUCACAAUAUUUGCUGCAGCAACACCGGUGAGUGCGUGACCACGUCGGUGGCAUAGCAAGGGCACUCGUGAUUUCGUUGACCACGUCGGUGUUCAACACGGAACUUCACAAUAUUUGCUGCAGCAACACCGGUGAGUGCGUGACCACGUCGGUGGCACAUCAAGGGCACUCGUGAGUUCGUUGACCACAUCGGUGGUUCAACGCGAAAGCACUCAGGUCAUGCAGCGACCCCGGAGAGUGAAUCGACCACGGCAGUUGGUACAGCACGAAAGCACUCGUGGCUCGCUGCGUAACAGCUGCAGAGUGCUCUAAAUUUUAAUUGAUCUCGCUGAGGUAUUUUAAGUCGAUUGCUUUUACGUGAUUCAUCGAUCUCGCUGACGGUUUUAAGCUUAUCGUUUUACGUUAUGUAUGAUUGACUCUUAAUAUGUUGUAUAUUGGGUAUGCCUUUUAUCUUCCAGAAGCAGUAUAGAUCCUUGUCCACUUCUUCUACGCGGGUAUGUAUGGUCUCAUUACCCCCUUUCGCUAUCUAUUUUUGGGGUCGGCUCCGCCCCUGCCAGUCCCGGCAGGACAUGCCGAGUUCUCUCCUACUUCUGGCGAAGGCCUACGUCCUCUCUUUUGGGGAAGGCUCCGCCCCUGCUAGUCCUGGCAGGAUACGCCGAGUCCGCACGUCACCCUGGAUCAGUGACGAGGCUCAUGCCAAAGAUUUACCAUGCAAAAUAUUCCCAUGUUGUUAUUUAAAUAAAUCCUGUUCAUACUUAUCGGUGAUCGAGUCUUUAUGGGAGAAAUGUUAAGCUUGCUGGUAGUUCUACCAGGAGGACUCAAAUCACGCGCGGCUGGCCACCAAUCACCAGCUACCAAUCACCUGCCUACACCUGCUCUAUAAAGAGUAGUCUAACAUAUGUCUUUGCUGCUCAGGUCUUCGUUCGACGCACCUCCAUCCACCCCACCACCACCAGGUCGGCCUCAGUCUACUUGUCCAGGGGAAGGCUCCGCCCCUGCUAGUCCUGGCAGGAUACGCCGAGUCCGCACGUCACCCUGGAUCAGUGACGAGGCUCAUGCCAAAGAUUUACCAUGCAAAAUAUUCCCAUGUCGUUAUUUAAAUAAAUCCUGUUCAUACUUAUCGGUGAUCGAGUCUUUAUG